UCUCAACACAGUACGGGUUUCUCUUUACAAAACCCUAAUCAUCCCCUACCGCCUGCCUCUAUCCUCUCCCUGAUCUUUCUUACCCGUCACUCUUCUCCCAUGUUAUUCUCAAUCGAUUCCAUACUUUGUACCGGUUAUUGAUUUAUUUAUUUUUCUGUAGGCACUGUUUUACUUUAUCACGAUUUUAGAUUUCACAUACCGAUCAGAGAAAUCAAAGUGGUGGUAUCAUGGGGGUUACGUGCAUUCAUAUUGGUUCACAGUCUUUUGAUUUUGUAGGUACGGAUUUUUAAAUCGUACCAAAGGAAGAUUAGGGUUCGCUCCAUUUUUCUAUUUUAUAUCGUGAUCAGGUCAGGUGAAAUUUACAGUUAAAAAGCUUCGCCCUGUCAUGGACCCGAAACAUAAUAUCAGUAACAAUUGUCGCCAUUGCUUAUGUGGUAUAUGGGACAAAAAAUACAAGAAAGCAAUCUUCCUACAGUGUUUGGAGUCGGUAAAAGUACAUUUUUUUACUUCCUCAUUCUGAAAGUAAAAGGUAACACAUUGAUGUUGCAAUCAUUCAUGCUCAACUCUCCCUGUUACACGGAGAGAAACUGCUGCACCUAGGUCAACUUGGUUAGCAUUUGUACAUUUAAGGUGUGUUAUAUUGCAUAACAUAUCCGGUUAGAUGUGUUAAUGCUAACACAAUUUAAGCUCAGAAAAAUAAUAUUAUUCCAGUUUAUAUUAUUGCUCGGCCAGCUUCUGCUUCAAGUGACAAUAAGUACGAUCAAGAAAUCUUACAAGAGUGUGUUUGGAUUAAAAAAAAGAGUCCAGGUGAUGUUUUUGCGAUGCUGAAGAAGAUUUCCAAUGUGUGACAUUAUUGUGGUGGUGAAAUUGUAUGUAGUGGUGAUGAUAUUGUGAUGGUGAAAAUUGUCAAAUAAAAUUCAUCUCCAAAUGCAGUCAAACAAACAAAAAAUGCAGCCGGAGGCUACAGAAGGAGUCGGCAAAAUACGAUUGUCUAAUUGACAGAUGAGAUUGAGACAACGAGUAAAUCUUCUAGAUUGUUAUCCAAGAACACGACCGAGGCCAGUUAAUGGACACCCUGAAAGAAAUUCAACAUCACACGGAGGUUAGAGACUGCGAGAAAAAGCUUCUUGAGUUACAGAUGGUAUCACCAUUAGAUCUUGAGACUCUUCAACAAUCAAAUCAAGCAAUGGAACAACGGAAACUGUGACGUAUCCUUCCAUUUCUGAAGGUUGGUUAGACUAUUUAGUAUUUGUGCACGUUCAUUAUGGACAUGAAACCUUUAGCAAAAAGUCACUGACUCAUGGGUACGUGAGUAGUGAGCACCAGUAAAGAUGGAGUUCAUAGGACGUAAAACAACACUACUACAGAUCGUUGUUCUUAUAUACUUCUUUCCAAUACGGUUGAGUCUCAAGUGAAAUGGACCAUGUUCAAUCUGGAAAUGCAUCUAUCCAGUCUAGAUCAUUCUUAUUCCAUAGUUCCAGUUGUAAUCAAUCUUUAGAUCAAUAAGAAUUGUUCACAAGUUUCACUUUAUUUCAUAGACGUGUAAUAUAAUAUUAUGGAACAUUCCAGGUUUAUACAGUGGUUUAUUUUCCCA